AGGCGACGAUCUGUAGCUGGUCUGAGAGGACGACCAGCCACACUGGGACUGAGACACGGCCCAGACUCGUACGGGAGGCAGCAGUGGGGAAUUUUGGACAAUGGGCGAAAGCCUGAUCCAGCAAUGCCGCGUGUGUGAAGAAGGCCUUCGGGUUGUAAAGCACUUUUGUCCGGAAAGAAAACCUCCGCCCUAAUAUGGUGGGGGGAUGACGGUACCGGAAGAAUAAGCACCGGCUAACUACGUGCCAGCAGCCGCGGUAAUACGUAGGGUGCAAGCGUUAAUCGGAAUUACUGGGCGUAAAGCGUGCGCAGGCGGUCCGCUAAGACAGAUGUGAAAUCCCCGGGCUUAACCUGGGAACUGCAUUUGUGACUGGCGGGCUAGAGUAUGGCAGAGGGGGGUAGAAUUCCACGUGUAGCAGUGAAAUGCGUAGAGAUGUGGAGGAAUACCGAUGGCGAAGGCAGCCCCCUGGGCCAAUACUGACGCUCAUGCACGAAAGCGUGGGGAGCAAACAGGAUUAGAUACCCUGGUAGUCCACGCCCUAAACGAUGUCAACUAGUUGUCGGGUCUUCAUUGACUUGGUAACGUAGCUAACGCGUGAAGUUGACCGCCUGGGGAGUACGGUCGCAAGAUUAAAACUCAAAGGAAUUGACGGGGACCCGCACAAGCGGUGGAUGAUGUGGAUUAAUUCGAUGCAACGCGAAAAACCUUACCUACCCUUGACAUGUAUGGAACCUGGCUGAGAGGUCAGGGUGCCCGAAAGGGAGCCAUAACACAGGUGCUGCA
rnacentral:rRNA from 1 species